UCAGCAGUCUAGCCACAUCAUCGUUCACACAUCAGCAUUCUAUUAGUCACUUACAUAUGGACCAACCAAUAUAGUAGGUACACCACCCGGCACAUAAGCGUUUAGUUCCUUGCUAGCUGGCCACAUAAUCGUUUAGUUACCUUCUAAAUGGACCCACCACAACCUUUCGGCAAAUCGCGGGAUUUAAUUUCCACUCAGUUGGCAUUAGUUCUUCCAUAUUCUGUAACUGGUGAUAUAGAGCUGAGACCCAGCGCCUUAUCAACUCCCCACCAAAUUUUGCUUGCACCUCUUUUCUUCCCUAUCAUGAAGGCUCGCUCCUCCAUCGGCAGUCCACGCCAAAGGUUCUAAUGCUCCGCCCACCGGCAGUCUGUUCCAGCCACAGCGUCUCCGUGUGUCCACAUACGCAGCGCCUACCUCCUCCGGUCAUCCAUGCAGGCGAGGGCCGUCGCACAACCGCUAGCAACCCACAACAGAAACACCAAAACGGCGCUACUCCUAUUUGACGCCAUGGCGGCCGGCUUGCCGAGACCCAGGCCACCACUCGCCGCUGACCACUGAGCAUCUGAGAUCGCUCUUCCGGACGCUCUUGAUUUCUCUUCAACCUUCGGACCGCCGGUAAUCCCACCCCAUAGAGCUGAACAGGGCAGUGAAGGCUUAUUUUACGCAAAUCAAUAUGACUCCACACAAAACUGAAGGACGGCAACCUUUCUACUCUUGAAUCAGGAUCUCACCUACAUGACUGACCAAGAUUUUCUCUUUAGCUGAAUUUGGCUAAUCUUUAUUACUGAAAAACUUUGGUCAGUGUCGGGUUUUCUGCUUCAAUUUCUCAUGCAUGUACACUAUAUAAAACUGCAGUUGCAGAGGUACUAGAUGCACUCACAAUUUCAACUUUA